rnacentral:rRNA from 1 species
UACAGAGGGUGCAAACGUUGCUCGGAAUUAUUGGGCGUAAAGAGCUCGUAGGCGGCCUGUCGCGUCUGCUGUGAAAUCCCGGGGCUUAACCCCGGGCGUGCAGUGGAUACGGGCUGGCUGGAGGCAGGCAGGGGAGAACGGAAUUCCCGGUGUAGCGGUGAAAUGCGCAGAUAUCGGGAGGAACACCGGUGGCGAAGGCGGUUCUCUGGGCCUGUACUGACGCUGAGGAGCGAAAGCGUGGGGAGCGAACAGG